CCGAAUGGGGCAACCCAGCAUAUUGAAGAUAUGUUAUCCGUAAGGAGGCGAACCCGGAGAACUGAAACAUCUAAGUACCCGGAGGAGAAGAAAACAAAAGUGAUUCCGAUAGUAGCGGCGAGCGAACUCGGAUUAGCCCAAACCAUAAUUGUUACGGCAAUUGUGGGGUUGUAGGACCACGAUAUUUGAUGCGUAAUGAAUUAGAACACUUUGGAAAGAGUGACCAUAGAGGGUGAUAGUCCCGUAUAAGUAAAGAUCGUUAUUGAUAGUGGUAUCCUGAGUAGUGCGGGGCACGUGUAACCCUGUAUGAAACUGGCGGGACCAUCCGUUAAGGCUAAA
rnacentral:rRNA from 1 species